UACGUAGGGUGCAAGCGUUGUCCGGAUUCAUUGGGCGUAAAGAGCUCGUAGGCGGUUCGAUAAGUCGGGUGUGAAACCUCCAGGCUCAACCUGGAGACGCCACCCGAUACUGUCGUGACUAGAGUCCAGUAGGGGAGCGUGGAAUUCCUGGUGUAGCGGUGAAAUGCGCAGAUAUCAGGAAGAACACCUAUGGCGAAGGCAGCUCUCUGGGACGGUACUGACGCUGAGACGCGAAAGCGUGGGGAGCGAACAGG
rnacentral:rRNA from 1 species